ACACCUCAACUCUCAUGGUUUGCCAUGACGAGCUUGGACUUUGGGGGUCUUGCUGGCCUGUUGGUCGGCUCCUCUCAAAUGAAUCAGCUUGCCAGUGUUUGGUGGCAUCACAGGUGUGAUAACUAUCUACGCUUGUCGCUGUCCGCCAGGUAACCUUCAGUGAUGGGGGUUCGCUGGAGCUCAUAAAUGUCUCUCCUCAGCGAGGACAGCUCUCUGAAC
rnacentral:misc_RNA from 1 species